UACGGAAGGGGCAAGCGUUGUUCGGAAUCAUUGGGCGUAAAGGGCGCGUAGGUGGUUCUGUAUGUCUACCGUGAAAGCGUACGGCUCAACCGUAUUUUGUCGGUGGAAACUGCAGGACUUGAGGCUGGGAGGGGCUGGUGGAAUUCCCUGUGUAGCGGUGAAAUGCGUAGAGAUGGGGGAGAACACUCGUGGCGAAGGCGGCCAGCUAGACCAGUUCUGACACUGAGGUGCGACAGCGUGGGGAGCAAACAGG
rnacentral:rRNA from 1 species